AGUAAUGCCUGGGAAUCUAGCUUAUGGAGGGGGAUAACUACGGGAAACUGUAGCUAAUACCGCGUAGUAUCGAGAGAUGAAAGUGUGGGACCUUCGGGCCACAUGCCAUAGGAUGAGCCCAAGUGGGAUUAGGUAGUUGGUGAGGUAAAGGCUCACCAAGCCGACGAUCUCUAGCUGGUCUGAGAGGAUGACCAGCCACACUGGGACUGAGACACGGCCCAG
rnacentral:rRNA from 1 species